GUCGGCGCUGGGUGUGUCACUAAAGUUGCCUUUCGCGUCAUCACUAGGUCUGUGAGACGAGCGUAACUUUGAACCAUCAGAACCGCUUAUUUCUCCCUGAGUCAGUAUACUGAAAAUGCUGCACUUAAGAGGAUGCUUGUUUUGAUCCUCUGCUCAUUGUUUUUAUGAAGUAUCACUAAUUCAUCCUAGAGGUGGUGUUCUUUUUAAGAAUUUGAGAAGGUUGGAUGACCUGGUCCAUUAAAAAAAAGAAAAAAAAAAAAGAAUUUGAGAAGGAAAUUGUAGUUCCCAGUUACUUUUGUGUAAUGUGAGCAAACAAAAUAUUUGUUACAAAACUUUAUUCAAAUCUAUUUAAUAUCAACAUUGUAAUAAGUUUUAAUUCAUAUUUCCAGUGUGUGAUUAUAAUAACACCCUUUUUUAUUUUGCAAAUACUGUAUAAAGAAAAGAUGCAGGUUACUUUGUGGCAUAUUUCUAUAAUUUAGAAGUGAAGUAGUUUGAGUAUAGGGUUUAUUUCUAUUUUUGCCAUAACCCCUUUCACUGUAGUAACUAAGAUAUGCUAGCUGCAACUUUAAAGAAAUAGAAUAAACCAGAUUCUAUUGCAGUUCUUAUUUUCAUUCUUAGUUUUUCUUAAUGAUAGACACUUUGUCAGUACAUCUUAGUAUGUUUACCUUGAAUGACUACUCUUUUAAACUUUCACAUUCAAUGAGAACUAACAUAAUUAGGCCAGUGUCUCUUAUCAGUAAAAAGUCAUUCCAUUUUCAGCUGCAGCUGAAAAGGUUGAAUACCACUUCUUUUUGUUUAAACCAAGGUUCAGUUAGAAAUUGCAUCUUGACAAGCUUAAGUGUUGGUUUGAUCUUAGCUAUUCUGUAUAAAUAAGGAUGGAUUUUCUUUAGCCUUAAAGGAGAUUAGUCAGUUAUGGUUGUAACUCGAUUGCUUUCCCUUAUUUUUCUGUUUAGCAUAUUUGUUAGUAUAUUGAAUAUCAUUUCCCUUUGCAGAUAUUUCCAAGGUCUUUAGUCUUUUUUUUUUUUUUUAAUUGUAGUUGUGCCUUUAAAUGGCUCCAGUGAAAAGUAAGAUGUAAAUGCAGAUAAUUACAAAAUUUAUGUACAAAGAGUACAUAAGAGGGGAAGAGGAAGUGUGAAACUCAGGCUUCACAGAGGUGACAUUUGAAUUGGGGUUAAGUUGAAGAACAGACAAACUUAGACACAAAGCUAUGGAAAAAUUGUGAUGAGCAGCGGAGAAAGUAAGUUUGGAAAGGAAAGCACAGGUCAUUUAUUUAUAUUUAUUCUUAGGAUUUUGGGCUUUUAUUUAAGUGAAAUUUAACAAGGGGUGUGAUCUUAUGUUUGUGUUCUAGAAAGAUUACUCUGGCAGCAGACAUAUGAAAGAUUUCUUGUAGGAGAUAGAGAGAUAUCUUAAUGACCAGGAUAAACUCUCCUGUGUUAGGUCAAACUGUGGAGGUGCAUUAGAAUGCUCAAAAUGAAAAGAGACAGGGGCUAAGUAGUGCUCCCUGAAGAGCACCAUUAUUUUACAGGUUGGAGAGAAAGGACUAAGUGGAGACUUAAAGGACAAAAAGUAGAGAAACAAAUGGAGAGGGGGAGUUACAGAAGCCAAGAGAGAAGUGGUUUAUAGUGUCAGAUGCUCAGAGGGAUCAAGUAAAAAAAA